AUACAUUUAUUUUGUACCUCCUCUAUUAAACAAUUUUUUUAAUUUACCUCGAAAAAUGUGAAAAAUCGAACUCUUAACUACAGAUCACUAGCUUUUUAGGAAGAAUUUGGAUUUUUAUUUUAUUGUCAGAAUUUAAUGGAUAAUUUUAGAAACUUCAACCUUUGGAGGUAUUUGUUAAUUAAAAAUGACAAAACUGGUAUUAUGUAAAAAAGAGUAAUCAAUCAAUGUCGAAUGGAAAUUAGACAGUUCUAUAAAAAUAAUCCUUCUCACGAUUCCACAACUUCAUAGCUUAAUUAAAUACAAUUCUUCGGCGAUAUAAUUACAAAUACAUUUACAGGAAUUGUGUAAUAUGAUAAAUAUCUCGUUAAAGAAAUUGAAAUCGUAAACUCUAGAUUCUAGUAUUCUUUCACUUUCAUGUUUCCUAUGAGCCCUUCAAUCGCUAAAUAUUUUGCAAUGAAACACGUAUUAUUAAACAUCAUAGUCAUACUAAAUUAAUUUAAUGUGACUAUUUAUUAUUAUUAUAUAAUAACACAGUGAUGAAAGAAAUAAACUGGUCAAGUAAUCUAAGGAACGAUAAUACGUAUCUAUGUCAGUGACAGAUUCUCCUCCAUGCGAUAGUAGCAGAUAUCUGAAACGUAUAUGAAACCAACCGUUACGUUCAUUUGUGUUUUUCCCCCCAAACGAAGAGAAAAUAAGGUGUGAAAGAAGGAGUAGCCUCUCAUAGUUCCUACAAUUUCUUCAUUCUCUUUGCUUUCUUCAAUAUUGCCUCAACAAGUUCCUGUGGUUCACGAUAUUUGAAAUAUAUACAAUGUUACCAGCGUGGAAAUUGUCUUGGAAACUUGGAAAAUCUUUCAAGAGGAACAACAUUGCUAACUGAGAUUCGAGAAAGGAAAUUACCAAGAAUGUCGAGAUAUAAACAACCAUUUGUGGAAAGGUCAGGAGAAGCAGAAUUAUCGAAUAAACGUUAUAUAACUCUUAGUGAUUAAGUAAGAGAAGAGAAACGAGAAAAAAGUCUUUUAUCUAGGUCUUAAUAAAGUAUACUAUAUUUAUCUCCAUAUCAAGAAUAACAACAAGAUAUAAACAGUCUUCUAGAAAUUGAGUAUCUCAUGAUCAUGUGAUAACACACAGGAAGAAAAAAUAGAGGAAAAAACAGCGUAAAAAAAAGUUGCGUAGGAGUAUCGUCGCACUACAUCAUUCGACAAUUGAUGCACGUCAUGGCGAUCGUCACGGUUUAAAGCAGGCCAUCAAAAACACGUUUGUUAUCGUACGGAAAAAUCUGCGACGUUCCAGCUGUUCAGGUGCAUCGAAUUGUGAAUCAUCGGCGGUACGAAGCAAGGCGAGGGGCGUAAAUAGAGAAAGAAGAGAAGAGAAGGAUUCGCAUAAAUGAUAAAAUAUAAUCGUUCGUUCCUCGUCGAUGGCGGAUGGAUGGCUUUAAUCGUGGACGAUAUCGAUACGAUUAUAUUUUAUACAUUUGAAACAAAUAUAAAAGACGAGCAAAAACCAGA